CGGUGAAUACGUUCCCGGACCUUGUACACACCGCCCGUCAAGCCAUGGAAGCCGGGUGUACCUAAAGUCGGUAACCGCAAGGAGCUGCCUAGGGUAAAACUGGUAACUGGAGCU
rnacentral:rRNA from 1 species